AAAACACAAAAAAUUGGAGGGAAUCUGCUGUUGAGAAAGAAAAGUAAUCCCACAUAUACUUAGGAAGAAACAUCUAAUUCCAGAACCUCAGAAAUGCCGCAAUUCCUAUUUUAUUGACAAUUUAACAAAUGGUAUUUCUCUGAAGUCAAUAACAACUUUAUGUAGAAAACUGUUUUGAUUAGCUGACUAGAAAGUAAGCACUUGAUUAUUACUGGUAUUUCUGGCUGCAUCCUGCGCCAGGCAAGGGGCCAGAACUAUUUUAGGUGCAGUCCCUCCAGAUGAUGGAAUUCAUGCCAUGAAAAUGGCCAGAAGGGAACCAACUGGAAGCUGAAGCUUUGGUUGUUCGUAUUAGAGAAGGCAGCUGCUCUGGGCUGAGAUGACCAGCCAACAGUCUGCAGACCCUUUGGACAGGAAAUUGUUCAAAUAGACAAGAGGCUCAUAGCCCAAGGCUCUCAAUUUCCCUCUGACUCAUGUGUGUCCAUGAGGCACACAGCACUCCUUACGAUGUGAGUUUUAAAGGAGAAAGGAGGAGGAGAAAUCUCACUGCAAAGACCCUGAAGUGAGAUGGGAGAAAUAGCUCCGCUUCUAAGAACAGCAAAGGUGAAAACGUCAGGCAGGGGAUGAGAAACAAGAGGGUGGCUCAGAAAACGGGGAGUGACCUGAUUCUUCAUCUUGGCGCACAUGCAGUUUUCCUGUUCCUGGCACAUCCACAAAGAAGACAGAAAACGGUACACAAACUUGGCCUUGUCUGGCAGUUGUGGUUUACCAGCCAUGUUAAAUUCAGACCCCUCUGAGCAGCUUUUCUCCCUCAGAGAGCUUUCUAUCCUCAGAGGAAAACAGAAUUACGUGCAACAUCAUUAAAUGGCCCUUCUCAUGGAAUUUGGAGUUCCAUUUUACCUCAUCUUGCAGCAAAAAUGUCUUCUAAGUACUUUGACUCUUGGAAUAGUGCUUUUUUCUGCAUUGAGGACAGCAGCCAGACCAAAAGAGCCUUCUUUACGUGGAAUCCGCCUUGCCUUUACCUUGACAAAGGAAUGCAUUAAAGAUGCUUUUGACUACUGCAUCACCUGGAGUGAAGGGAGAAGAAAAUCAGCUACCUGGUGUAUCUCUGCUAUUCCCCAGAAACUGUUCCAGUCUCACCCUCCGUCUCCUCCUUCAAUCCCACUUCUGAGCAAAAAACUUCUCACGCACCAGGGUCCUUAACACCACGAGUAGGAUCCAUGACUUCCCAUUGCUUCUCCUAGGAUACCAAAGGGCGCCCCUGCCCUAAACCAAAAAAAGUCUUCAGUCACUUGUAGGUUACUUUCAAACUGAGACAAGUCGUUGUAUGUGGCUCAUGCAGACCGUGAAGAACUGAAGGAAGAGUGAAAUGUUGAAGAGCUGGAGGAAGAAUCACUGUACCCUGACUUGUGUGACACUGUGGAUGAGCUGGGGGAUGGUCCCCAAAGCUUAAUCAAGAAG